UACGUAGGUGGCAAGCGUUGUCCGGAUUUAUUGGGUUUAAAGGGUGCGUAGGCGGCCCUGUAAGUCAGUGCUGAAAUAUCCCGGCUUAACCGGGAGGGUGGCAUUGAUACUGCGGGGCUAGAGUACAGAUGAGGUAGGCGGAAUUGACGGUGUAGCGGUGAAAUGCGUAGAUAUCGGAAGGAACAUCAGUGGCGAAAGCGACUUCCUGGACCAAUACUGACGCUCAUGUGCGAAAGCGUGGUGAGCAAACAGG
rnacentral:rRNA from 1 species